rnacentral:rRNA from 1 species
UGCAUAGGAAUCUACCUAGUAGUAUGGAAUAGCCAUUAGAAAUGAUGGGUAAUACUGUAUAAUCCCUGCGGGGGAAAGAUUUAUCGCUAUUAGAUGAGCCUACGUUAGAUUAGCUAGUUGGUAAGGUAAUGGCUUACCAAGGCUAUGAUCUAUAGCUGGUCUGAGAGGACGAUCAGCCACACUGGAACUGAGAUACGGUCCAGACUCCUACGGGAGGCAGCAGUGGGGAAUAUUGGACAAUGGGCGAAAGCCUGAUCCAGCUAUGCCGCGUGAGUGAAGAAGGCCUUCGGGUUGUAAAACUCUUUCAAUAGGGAAGAUAAUGACGGUACCUAUAGAAGAAGUCCCGGCAAACUCCGUGCCAGCAGCCGCGGUAAUACGGAGGGGGCAAGCGUUGUUCGGAAUUAUUGGGCGUAAAGGGCACGUAGGUGGACUAGUAAGUUAAAAGUGAAAUACCAAAGCUCAACUUUGGAGCUGCUUUUAAUACUGCUAGACUAGAGGUCGAAAGAGGAUAGCGGAAUUCCUAGUGUAGAGGUGAAAUUCGUAGAUAUUAGGAGGAACACCAGUGGCGAAGGCGGCUAUCUGGUUCGAUACU